rnacentral:rRNA from 1 species
AUGAAUACUGGGGACGAUACAAGCGCCAGCAAGUUUGGUCAGGAGUCACCUUAUCAAGAUGUGGCCAAAAUGAUCAUAUGCCAUGGUUAUCCCUUGUCGAUUGUGGAGCAUGAAGAAAUGAAAAGGAUUUUCAAGAGCAUCAACCCUGUGGCUAGUGUCUCUCGUAGUGAUAUGGAAGACCAUUUGUUGGAUCUAUUUCAGAAGGAAAAGAUGAAUGUCAAGGAUAAAAUCGCGCUAACCUCGCGGCAUGUCUCUCUGUCGGCAAGCAUCUGGACUGACGAUGGACCUGAGCCGACAGUAAAGUACCUCUGCUUGACAGCACAUUUCAUCGGUGAAGACUGGAAAGUUCACAGAAGAAUAAUAAAGUUUGGCAUGUAUUGGUGCUCACCUACUAAUUUGGAAAGGACUAUACACUGCAAGGAGGCCUGUGUUCCACAGUCUGAAAGUGGAUCUUACAAUGUCAUAUGGGAUGCAAUCAGAGAUUGGAACCUUGACCAGAAGAUAUUGAGCUUCACUUCAGUUGGUGAAAUCAAGAACGAUGCGAAUACCGCGAGGCUCAAGGCGAUGCUCAUGGAGAAGAGGUGCCUUCCCAUCAGAGGCAAGCUAUGCAACAUCGCUUGCUUGGACGACAUGAUAAACAGUGUUGUCGCCGAAGGACAAUCAGACAUACUUCUCCUUAUUGGUGAUGCAGUAAUGGACUUUUUUGUGGCGCAUGCAUCUUCACCAUUGGCCCAGCAACAGCUUCUGGAGGCCAUUUCACAGAUGAGCUUGAAGUGUCCACAGGAAGAUGCCAAGUGGUGGCAUAAGUUUUAUUUUAGGCUUGAAGUUCUGUUGCAAUUCAAGAAGUUGUUUCCUGCUGAAGAAGUGCUGUCUCCAGAAGAUAUGGGAGUUAUUGUGUCCAUUUGCAAGAUUUUGAGAACGUUUUAUCAUGCCAUCGAAGUAAUUUCUGGCCCGAGCUCUCCGACUGGCAAACAUAUACUUUAA